rnacentral:rRNA from 1 species
AUUGAACGCUGGCGGCAUGCCUUACACAUGCAAGUCGAACGGCAGCACGGGAGCAAUCCUGGUGGCGAGUGGCGAACGGGUGAGUAAAGUAUCGGAACGUGCCCAGUCGUGGGGGAUAACGUAGCGAAAGUUACGCUAAUCCCGCAUACGAUCUACGUACGAAACCGGGGGAUCGCAAGACCUAGCGCGAUUGGAGCGGCGGAUAUCGGAUUAGGUAGUUGGUGGGGUAAAGGCUCACCAAGCCGACGAUCUGUAGCUGGUCUGAGAGGACGACCAGCCACACUGGGACUGAGACACGGCCCAGACUCCUACGGGAGGCAGCAGUAGGGAAUUUUGGACAAUGGGCGCAAGCCUGAUCCAGCCAUGCCGCGUGCAGGAUGAAGGCCUUCGGGUUGUAAACUGCUUUUGUACGGAACGAAAAGGUUUGGCCUAAUAAGCUGGACCCAUGACGGUACCGUAAGAAUAAGCACCGGCUAACUACGUGCCAGCCGCCGCCGUAA